rnacentral:tRNA from 1 species
AGGGCUGUAGUCAACCAUGACAUGUGACUUGCACUUACAGGGUAUUCUCGCGAAUCGGCCUUA